AGAGUUUGAUCAUGGCUCAGAACGACGCUGGCGGCAUGCCUAACACAUGCAAGUCGAGCGGGGACUUCGGUCCUAGCGGCGGACGGGUGAGUAACGCGUGGGAACGUGCCCUUUGCUUCGGAAUAGCCCCUGGAAACGGGGAGUAAUACCGGAUGUGCCCUUUGGGGGAAAGAUUUAUCGGCAAAGGAUCGGCCCGCGUUGGAUUAGGUAGUUGGUGGGGUAAUGGCCUACCAAGCCGACGAUCCAUAGCUGGUUUGAGAGGAUGAUCAGCCACACUGGGACUGAGACACGGCCCAGACUCCUACGGGAGGCAGCAGUGGGGAAUCUUAGACAAUGGGCGCAAGCCUGAUCUAGCCAUGCCGCGUGAGCGAUGAAGGCCUUAGGGUUGUAAAGCUCUUUCGUGGGGGAAGAUAAUGACGGUACCCCAAGAAGAAGCCCCGGCUAACUCCGUG
rnacentral:rRNA from 1 species